UUGUUUCAGCAGCACAUAUGCUAAAAUUGGAACAAUACAGAGAAGAUUAGCAUGACCCUUGUGCAAAGAUGACAUGCAAAUUUGCAAAGCAUUCCAUAUUUUU